rnacentral:rRNA from 1 species
GAUGAACGCUGGCGGCGUGCCUAAUACAUGCAAGUCGAGCGAACAGACGAGGAGCUUGCUCCUCUGACGUUAGCGGCGGACGGGUGAGUAACACGUGGAUAACCUACCUAUAAGACUGGGAUAACUUCGGGAAACCGGAGCUAAUACCGGAUAAUAUAUUGAACCGCAUGGUUCAAUAGUGAAAGACGGUUUUGCUGUCACUUAUAGAUUGAUCCGCGCCGCAUUAGCUAGUUGGUAAGGUAACGGCUUACCAAGGCAACGAUGCGUAGCCGACCUGAGAGGGUGAUCGGCCACACUGGAACUGAGACACGGUCCAGACUCCUACGGGAGGCAGCAGUAGGGAAUCUUCCGCAAUGGGCGAAAGCGUGACGGAGCAACGCCGCGUGAGUGAUGAAGGUCUUCGGAUCGUAAAACUCUGUUAUUAGGGAAGAACAAAUGUGUAAGUAACUAUGCACGUCUUGACGGUACCUAAUCAGAAAGCCACGGCUAACUACGUG